rnacentral:lncRNA from 1 species
AUGUCUGUUCUCAGACCUUUUUUUUUUUUUUUAAAGAUUUAUUUAUUUAAAAGGCAUUUACAGAGAGACACACACACAUACACACACACACAGAAAGUGGGGGGAAGGAGAGAGACGGAGAGAGGGAGAGAGGGAGACCUUCCACCUGGUGGCUACUCCCCAAAUCACUACAGUGGCGGGGCCCAGGCCAGGCCGAAGCCAGGAGCCUGGAGCUCCAGCGGGGUCUCCCACGUUGGUGCAGGAGCCCAGGGACUGGGGCGUCUUCUGCUGCCUCCCUGGUGCAUCAGCAGGGAGCUGGAAGGGAAGUGGGGCAGCAGGACUCCGACCGGCUCCUGUAUGGGACACUGGGGUCGCAGGCAGCGGCUUUACCCGCUGUGCCACAGCACCGGCCCCAGUUCCCAGCCCCUGGCUUCGGCCUGGCGCAGCCCCAGCCCCAGGACUGCGAGUAUGGGCAGGGAGGAAACCAGCAAACGGGAGGACCGACAUGCCACGAGGGGUGUGCUCGGGAGACAGCACGUCACGUGGAGCAGCGCGCUCCCCACACAGCAGGAGUGCAAGGUUCCCGCGGCAGCGCCGCCCGGGUCCUUGCUCACCCCGCUGGAUCCUCAUUGCACCCCCUUCUGGGUCGGAUCCAGUGCAGGCCCUGUCUACGAGGUGCGGAGUGGCCAGGCAGCCCACCUGGCGUGUGGAAGGCGGCAGGGUCUGGACAGUGAGCCACAAGGCCCCGGGCCCCUCAAAGGCACGCCAGGCACACGGCUGACCAGGUCAGCCCCAGGGCCCUCUGUGUCCACGGUUCCCACUCUGCUACUGGGCUUACACAGUAACCAUCUGGGAGCCGGACACCACCCCCAGGAGGCCCCCCGGCUUAGACCUAGAACAAGCAGACUCAGCAGCUGCCACCCCGGAGGUGGCAGUGGGCACCGGAGGGCACUCUGGCCACGGCAGGGACGUGGACAGCCCUUUGCACUCUCCAGCUCCACUCCGACAGGGCGCUGCCCCUUCCGCCCCAUGCGUCAGCCCAGCAUCCCCAGUCAGCCGGGAAAUGUUGUCACCAGGUAUAGGGGGUGGAGGGGGGGGGACCACCCUCUGGAAACAAAAAACCCGGGAAAACCCCAGCCUGGGAAGGGAGGGACCUGCCGGCGCCGACAAGGCACAAAACAGCUGGGAGACAUCCACGGCCACCGAGCAGCUUCGCAGAUGGGGAAACUGAGGCAGGACCCCAGCAGGUG